UGGGAAUUUGGACAAUGGGGCAACCUGAUCCAGCAAUGCCGCGUGUGUGAAGAAGGCCUUCGGGUUGUAAAGCACUUUUGUCCGGAAAGAAAACGCCGUGGUUAAUACCCGUGGCGGAUGACGGUACCGGAAGAAUAAGCACCGGCUAACUACGUGCCAGCAGCCGCGGUAAUACGUAGGGUGCAAGCGUUAAUCGGAAUUACUGGGCGUAAAGCGUGCGCAGGCGGUCCGCUAAGACAGAUGUGAAAUCCCCGGGCUUAACCUGGGAACUGCAUUUGUGACUGGCGGGCUAGAGUAUGGCAGAGGGGGGUAGAAUUCCACGUGUAGCAGUGAAAUGCGUAGAGAUGUGGAGGAAUACCGAUGGCGAAGGCAGCCCCCUGGGCCAAUACUGACGCUCAUGCACG
rnacentral:rRNA from 1 species